rnacentral:misc_RNA from 1 species
GAAACAGCAAACCACAGAUGAGAUGGAUUAUGAUGAUGAUGAAGAUGAAGCUGAAGCUGAAGCUGAGGCCACUGCAGAAAUUGAAGAUGAGAAAAGUGAACAGACAGAUGAGAUUGAUAAUGGUGACGAAGAAGAAAAUGGAGACCGUGGCAAUGAAGAGCAUACGUCUAAGUUACAGUCUACGGAAGAGGACAUAUCAAAUACCAAAACUAGCAAGUCAAAGACCAAAACAACUGUCAAACAGAAGAAAAAGAAAGAAAGACGUAGCAAAAAGGAUUCAGAUAGGUGUGUCUUUGUUGAUGUGGAGGGACUGCAUUUUGAGGUCCACUUUAGAUUCGUCAAUGAACCUCAUAUCUUGUUAGCUCAGGUUGCCCAAAAGACUGCAAAGAAAGUGUAUGUUAAGAACUCUGGUAAAAUCGACCAAUGCAGAAUGGUCAAGUAUGAAGUAACUGAAAAUACUGUGAUGUGGGAUGAAAACCAAACAAAGCAGCAACGCCAAGAUUCUGAUUCUGCUUAUUGGGCCCUGAAAGCAGCUGGAGUGGAUUUUGGUACCUUCUGGGAAAUGCAAGAUGACCUUGAUGUUACCCGUAUAUACACGAAUAAUAUUCGUGCUAUGCUGAACACCUAUGGAGUCGAAGCUGCCCGGGCAUCAAUCUUAAGAGAGGUCAAAACUGUUUUUGGUAUCUAUGGUGUGGAGAUUGAUUUUCGACAUUUGAGUCUAAUAGCCGACUUCAUGACCCAUACGGGUGGAUACCAGCCAAUGAGCAGACAUGGAAGCAUAUCAGAGUCUCUGUCGCCGUUCCUUAAGAUGUCGUUCGAAACAGCUUCAAAAUUCAUAGUCGAAGCAGCUGCUCAUGGUUUAACUGACAACUUGGAGACACCAUCCUCCAGAAUUUGCUUAGGGUUGCCAGUAAAGAUGGGUACUGGUUGUUUUGACAUAAUGCAGGAGCUAGAUAUUUGAAUUUUUUUUUUAAUGUAUAACAGUAUUAGCAUAUGAUGAGUAUUAUUU